rnacentral:rRNA from 1 species
UACAGAGGUCUCAAGCGUUGUUCGGAUUCAUUGGGCGUAAAGGGUGCGUAGGUGGUGGGGUAAGUCGGAUGUGAAAUCCCGGGGCUCAACCCCGGAACUGCAUUCGAUACUGCCUUGCUCGAGUACUGGAGAGGAGACUGGAAUUUACGGUGUAGCAGUGAAAUGCGUAGAUAUCGUAAGGAAGACCAGUGGCGAAGGCGAGUCUCUGGUCUGUAACUGACGCUGAGGCGCGAAAGCGUGGGGAGCAAACAGG